GUCUAUGACCAUGCCACCCUGAGCAUGCCCGAUCUCGUCUGAUCUCGGAAGCUAAGCAGGGUCAGGCCGGUUUAGUACUUGGAUGGGAGACCACCUAGGAAGACCAGGUGCUGUAGGUC
rnacentral:rRNA from 1 species